CGGGAAGAGGGGGAGGUGGCGCCCCGCCCGCUUCGGAAGCGGGAGACGCGCGGUUCGAGUCCGUGCUUCCCGACGA
rnacentral:tRNA from 1 species